GAUGUUAAUAUAGAGAGAUGAAUAUUUCUGUGGAACUUUAGAAGACGAAGAUAUUGUGUCCAGAUUCAAUCCAUUUUGAGUCGAUUUGAACCCUCACAUUCUAAAUAUUUUCGUGCAAUACUCAAAGUGCAGAUUCAAUCCAUUUUGAGUCGAUUUAAACACUUCUACAAACGUUCAGAGGAGCAUUCCAGAUUUUUUAGUGUCGUGUACAAAUUCAAUUCAGUACGUUCCCUAACGGCACUCAAAGGAGCGUCUCCAGAUUCGAUUUAGAACAUGCCCUAACGGCUCUCAAAGGAGCGUGUCCAGAUUCGUUUUAGAACAUGCCCCUAACGGCUCUCAAAGGAGCGUGUCCAGAUUCGAUUCAGAACAUGCCCCUAACGGCUCUCAAAGUAGCGUUUACAGAUUCAAUUCAGAACGUGCCCUAACGGCACUCAAAUUACAGUGCAAUGGCCGUUAAAAAAGCAGGGAUUUACUGCUUAUAAAUGAGCGGUUUACUUGAGAAGCAGGACAGAUUUCUUGUUCGGUUUUUUUUUUUGGUUUGAUUUGUCUCCCAUUGUAUGUUUUUGGCGUGGCCAUGCCUAUUUUUGAAUUUUAGUUUCGAUUUUUUUACAGUUUGUUGUUAUUUCGUGUAUCUUCUUUUUUCUGUGGGUCGUCAUUUUUUAAUGGGCAUGGAGUAGGCAGCAACAAGAACUCUACAUUUUGGAAUGGUUGAUUGGAGGUGUGGCCAGAAAAUAGAAAAUUGAUUUAAAUUUCACUCAUGGUUAACAGUGUUGGACUUCAGUAUCUAGAAAUGUUUGGAGGCUUGAAUGAGUAGUCACUGAAGUCAAAUAAUGAAGGGUAAUAUUUAAAAUUUCAGCAAAAAAUGUUAGGAAUCUUGAAUGGAUUGCUAAAUGUAAUAUUUAAAAUUGAAGAAAAUGUUGUACUUUUGAAUCAAUUACUGAAAUCAGUAUUUGUAAAUUGAUAUGUAAACAGAUUUGUUGUUUAAUGCCAAAUUUUUAU